CGUCACUUCCGGCCGGAGAGCCUCUCGGCCCUGCUGUCCCGGUAAGCUCCUAGCUGCUGGUUUGAAGUCACUUCCGACCUGGUUCUCGGCUCCCUCGGGGAUCCGGGUGCUCUGCAGAUCUUGUUUACCCGGUUCUAUUUCGCCUGCCAUCCUAAACUGCGGCUGUGUAAUCCAGCACGGAGAAAAAAACCUGAUUAGUUUAUCAGACAAGUCAGCUCUGAUGACUUCCUGCCAUCGUGGAAUGAAAUUUCACAGCACAUUGCCGAGUUUCGAUAGUCAUCUCUGUUCUCUGGUCUUACUGUGUGUGUCAUAUCACAUAAUUGUCAGGACCUAAGAUGUCUGUCCCUGUUAAGAAGC
rnacentral:lncRNA from 1 species